CAGGCUGGGUCUUGGAACCUGAUCUGGGUUUAUUAUGAUGAUCAAGAUAAGACUCUUCUGCUUCUAAAGCAGCAUUUCCUGUUCCUGUGGUACCCUAGGUUGGAUCUGUGUUAUCAAACUAAAAUUUGACAUAGAAUUCAAUGCAGAACAAUUUUCAUAAAGUAUGUGCCCUGUGAUGUUAUUUAGAUUAGAUUCAAAUCCAGCGGUUGGAAUCUUGGCUUUAUUAAGAGAGUGCUGAACAUACUCAGAAGUUUCAAGAGGUCCAGAUAUAAUGCAACACACUUUGAAGAAGUAGGGUUGAACUUGCUGAAGCUGCUCGAGGAUGACGAUGAAAAUGAAGUCUGUAUGGGACUAUUUCUACUGGCUGUACUGGCAAUAUCAAUUAAUCACCUGUGCCUACCUUUUCGACACAUGGGAAAGAAUAAUCCUCCACAGUUUUAUCAUUUCUGUUCUUGUUAUGAUGAUUUACACUGCUUAUAUCUACACCCUCCACAUCUGUCUGAUUCUUAAGUUCUUCUUAUACUUACCUGGAAACGAGCUUGAAAGCAAUGUUUACAUUAUGAAAUAACCUGGUCAUCCUGAUUAUGGCUUUUGGAUCCUGCAAGCUCUUGCUGUAAACUUGUGAAUUUUUUUUCUUCAGAAGACUUUAAACUGACAAGAUGAUGCAUAUCACUUUUUCUUCCCACCAGAUGUCAUCUUUAUCCUUCAGUGUCUUUUUUGUUGGGUUUUUUUCCCCAUCAGAACAUAUUACAGCCGCCCAUCGGGGAGGGGAUAGCAGGGGGCAGGGGAGCCAGGCUCUAUGCUCCGAACUCGGCAGCUGCUGUUUCCUGUGGGCAGCAGCUGGGGCUCAGGUGCUGCUGGGAUUGCGGGGCAGGGGGCUGCAGGUCUCCUUCUGGCCCUGGGUCACCUGGGAAGUGUGGGGGGGCUGCAGAUUGGGAGUGAGGGGCACUGGCAGGACCAGGGGACUGUGGGUUGAGAGUAAGGGGCACCUGGGGAGGCGGGGGGCUGCGAGUGGGGAAUGAGGGGCCAUGCUGAGGAAAUGGGAUCAUGCUGAGGAAAACUUUGGGAAGCACCGUAUUACAGGGCAGGUGGACUUACAACGUGCUUUUAGCUACUGUCUGCAGGAGGUCAGUUUCCUAGUAAAAACUGAGUGCAAGUUUGGAGUGAUUUGCAAGAUGCAAUAUUGGAGUUAAGGUUACCACACCUGCCUUAAAUCUGUGUGCCCAUAUUUUGUAGUAAUUUUGUAAUGCUAGAUUUAAAGCUCAUGCUUUUGAGUUAACUUUUUUUCUUUUCAGGCACUUGUCAAGCAUUAUUGAAACCUGCUUAAACUUACUGAAUGCCUGUGUUGUCUGGAAACUUCCUAAACUUUUUCUGGAAAACCUUAGCGUCAUCCAUAGUCCCCUGUAUUCUGCCAGAGGUGUAGUAGCACGGAUAGAAAGUUAAGGAGUGAAAGAGUUCAGUUGUAACAACAGAAGCUACAACUGGGAGCAGGUACUAUCAUUACCUUGUUCCUGGCAGUGCUUGUAACCUCUGCAGAGAUGGCGCUUCAGUCCUUGCAGAGCUUCCUAUGGUCACAGGAACAUUUUAUUGCUGGCCCUGGAAAGAGUAAGAACCAACAUUGCUACAAUUCUGGUUUCAUGUUACAGCUUUGUAGUUUUGUACUAGCUAUAGAAAAGCCUUCAGAAGUCACAUAACUUGACAUAGAAUUAUUAAAAGGACACCUAGAACAGCUAUACUGGAUCAUGCAGAGGACUUAUUUUUUGUUGCGAAACCUGAAACUCAAAUUUUAAUUUUGAAUAGUUUCAUUUUAGGAACUUGUUUAACUUAUUUGGAUAAAAUGUAUGCCAUCAGCUGGAUAAAGCACUUCUAUAGAACAUUU